rnacentral:lncRNA from 1 species
UUCGCUCAUCAUUUACUGUUGGAGGAUAAAUGGUGUACUCCUUUUCAAAGAAGUCUACUUCUGCAGAGCAUCUAUAAACACUGGCCUGUUCAACAAUCACCUGUUUUGAAAAGAUAACAUUCUUCUGCUCAGUCCACUUUAAUUAUAGGUAAGACUUAUUCAACUUGGCCCUUCAACAUUCUUUUACAGAUUUGCUUUAUUUGUGAUUGUGUAAUUUUAGUCCAUCUAUAAAUUUUUUAUCCAACAUUUAACUGAAAUGGUAAAAUGACACCAUUAGCAUUUUACUGGCACAACUGCAUUUUUAUAUGUAAAGUUAACAAAUAGACUAAAUUUAUACAAUUAAAAUAGAAUAAGAUAAGGGUCAUUUGUAGUAUACUUUUUGACAGUGAAAUUCAAAUGAUAGGAAGAUUAGAAGUGCAACUAAAUCUAAUAAAAAUGGGGCAGUUGCUGACCUGUUCUAUUCUUUCAAGUAACUGGUAAAAACUGGUGUUAGAGAAGGCUCUGAAAGUCCCACCAAGGAUCACUUUGUCUGGUAUCAUGUCAAGAUUGUUUCCUCCAUUAAACGAAGUUACAGAGACAACCUAAAGUUGUAAUUGGUUAGGAAGUUAUGCAAAGACAGAUAAGUGGAGAAUGAAAAAAGGAAAAGAAGUUUGAUAUUGGUAGGAUGCAAAACCUGAGAAUCCAGAGGAUUUGAUUCGCGGGAGACAAUACCCUGUAAGCUGAUGACAGAAGCUGAAGCAGCCAAAACAGGAUC